rnacentral:rRNA from 1 species
ACGGAAGGCAGCAGCUAAGAAUAUUCCGCAAUGGACGAAAGUCUGACGGAGCGACGCCGCGUGGAUGAUGAAGGCCGGAAGGUUGUAAAAUCCUUUUGAAACCGAGGAAUAAGUCCUGCAGGGAAUGGCAGGAUGGUGACUGUAAGUUUUGAAUAAGCAACGGCUAAUUACGUGCCAGCAGCCGCGGUAACACGUAAGUUGCGAGCGUUGUUCGGAAUUAUUGGGCGUAAAGGGCAUGUAGGCGGACCGGCAAGCUUGGUGUGGAAUCCCGUGGCUCAACCACGGGACUGCAUGUAGAACUACCGGACUAGAGUGAGUGAUGGGGAGCCGGAAUUCCAGGUUUAGGGGUGAAAUCCGUAGAUAUCUGGAAGAACACCAAUGGCGAAGGCAGGCUUCUAUCACAGGACUGACGCUGAGGUGCGAAGGUGCGGGGAUCAAACAGGAUUAGAUACCCUGGUA